rnacentral:rRNA from 1 species
CCUACGGGAGGCUGCAGUGGGGGAUACUGCACAAUGGGGGGAACCCUGAUGCAGCGACGCCGCGUGGGUGAAGAAGCGCCUCGGCGCGUAAAGCCCUGUCAGCAGGGAAGAAAAUGACGGUACCUGAAGAAGACGCCCCGGCUAACUCCGUGCCAGCAGCCGCGGGAAUACGUAGGGGGCAAGCGUUAUCCGGAUUUACUGGGUGUAAAGGGGGCGCAGACGGCGAUGCAAGCCAGGAGUGAAAGCCCGGGGCCCAACCCCGGGACUGCUCUUGGAACUGAGGGGCUGGAGUGCAGGAGGGGCAGGCGGAAUUCCUGGUGUAGCGGUGAAAUGCGUAGAUAUCAGGAGGAACACCGGUGGCGAAGGCGGCCUGCUGGACUGCAACUGACGUUGAGGCCCGAAAGCGUGGGGAGCAAACAGGAUUAGAUACCCUGGUAGUC